rnacentral:rRNA from 1 species
AGUUGUUGCGGUUAAAAAGCUCGUAGUUGGUUCUGCGUGCCACGCUGUCGGUUCGCCGCCUGCCGGUGUAACUGGCAUGCCGUGGCAUGUCCUGUCGGUGGCGUUCGGGAGCCUUGUUUAGGUGCUGGCUCAAGCCUCAAAGCUUGGUGCUCGGAGGCCAGGGGUAUACCCGUUCGCCUACUCUAUCCUACCUAGGUGCUCUUCACCGAGUGUCGAGGUAGGCCGACACGUUUACUUUGAACAAAUUAGAGUGCUCAAAGCAGGCUGAAAUCUCUGCCUGAAUAGUGGUGCAUGGAAUAAUAAAACAGGACCUUGGUUCUAUUUUGUUGGUUCUUAGGAACACAAGGUAAUGAUCAAUACGGACAGGCGGGGGCAUUCGUAUUGCGACGUUAGAGGUGAAAUUCUUGGAUCGUCGCAAGACGCACAAGAGCGAAAGCAUUUGCCAAGUAUGUCUUGAUUGAUCAAGAACGAAAGUUAGAGGUUCGAAGGCGAUCAGAUACCGCCCUAGUUCUAACCAUAAACGAUGCCAGCCAGCGAUCCGCCGAUGUUCCUCCGAUGACUCGGCGGGGAGCUUCUUCCCGGGAAACCAAAGCUUUUGGGWUUCCGGGGAAGUAWGGUUGCAADCUGA